UUUCCGUAGGUGAACCUGCGGAAGGAUCAUUAAUAAUUUGCUGAACCUAGCGUUAGCGAGGUUUUGCGAUCACUUAUAUUUAAAACCCAACUCUUAAAUUGUAUAUAAUUAUGUAUUUUUUUUUUUAAUAAAAAAGAUCACUUUCAACAACGGAUCUCUUGGCUCUC
rnacentral:misc_RNA from 1 species